GAUGAACGCUGGCGGCGUGCUUAACACAUGCAAGUCGAACGAUGAAAGCGGGAGCUUGCUCCUGCUGGAUUAGUGGCGAACGGGUGAGUAACACGUGAGCAAUCUGCCCCGAACUCUGGGAUAAGCGUUGGAAACGACGUCUAAUACCGGAUACGACGCGCGAAGGCAUCUUCUGCGCGUGGAAAGAAUUUCGGUUCGGGAUGAGCUCGCGGCCUAUCAGCUAGUUGGUGAGGUAACGGCUCACCAAGGCGACGACGGGUAGCCGGCCUGGGAGGGUGACCAGCCACACAGGGACUGAGACACGGACCAGACUCCUACGGGAGGCAGCAGUGGGGAAUAUUGCACAAUGGGCGAAAGCCUGAGGCAGCAACGCCGCGUGGGGGACGACGGCCUUCGGGUUGUAAACCUCUUUUAGUAGGGAAGAAGCGAAAGUGACGGUACCUGCAGAAAAAGCACCGGCUAACUACGUGCCAGCAGCCGCCGUAAUAC
rnacentral:rRNA from 1 species